rnacentral:rRNA from 1 species
UUGGCCUACGGGACGCAGCAGUGAGGAAUAUUGGUCAAUGGGCGGAAGCCUGAACCAGCCAAGUCGCGUGAGGGAAUAAGGCCCUACGGGUCGUAAACCUCUUUUGCCGGGGAGCAAGGGCGGGGACGUGUCCCGGCCCGGAGAGUACCCGGAGAAAAAGCAUCGGCUAACUCCGUGCCAGCAGCCGCGGUAAUACGGAGGAUGCGAGCGUUAUCCGGAUUUAUUGGGUUUAAAGGGUGCGCAGGCGGCACGGCAAGCCGGCGGUCAAAUCGCGGGGCUCAACCCCGCCCAGCCGUCGGAACUGC